UUUUGGGCAAGCAAGUUGGUAAAUUUUCCCAUAUAGAAUUCUUAUUUUUAAUUAAAUUAUGGAAGCAGAAAUUAAAGAUUUUUCCGUCGAUUUAGUUGCUUUCUCAUUGAAGGCACAUGAAUGUUUGCAUGAGGCAAAGCUUUCAGGUCAUGAAUGAAUUCUUCAGCAAGGUGGCCUCUCAUAUGUUCUUAUUUCUUUCUCAUAUCUAUUUGUAGUUUUGUUCUGUGUGCUAUGGUAUUUUCAAGCUUAGAACUGCACCUAUAUCUAUUACUAUAUGAUUUUCUUGGAUUU
rnacentral:lncRNA from 1 species